rnacentral:lncRNA from 1 species
AUCACCUUUCAAAGGCUGACAGCAUCUGCUUUUUUACUGAGAGAAACCUGUUGCCAUACAAGAAACUCUACUACCAGAGCCAGCCUGCAGUGAAGAAGCCCAGACCAGCCCUGUGGAGAGGUCACAUAGGGAAGAACUGAGGAGCCAAAGACAGAGAGAAUGGAUCCCCACACAUAUAUUCACCACAGGACCAUUACAGCCAAUCCCCAGUCAUCCAUGCAAUCCCAGGAACUGGAGCUUAUGCUGGGCAGAGAAUGAAGAAAAGCUGAUCCCUGUCUAUGCAAGUGGCAGAAGCAAUUCACAAAGAGAGGUUUGGUGGGAGAGAGGAAGAAGCUGGCAGAGGAGAGGAAGAAGUUCUGUAUUCAAGCCAGAAGGAACCUCUGACCCAGCUGAUUGUGGACUGAAACCUCUACAAACUCGUCGAGGAGCAGAGAUGCCCCCAGCACCGAGGAGGAGCCUUCCAGGCCACCAUACCACCACUGCCAGCGCUGAGGAGUUGAGCCUUUUGGGCCACCUACCACCACCUGGAGUGCCCAGGAGCAGAACCCCCCUCAACCCCAAUGAGCCCACUGUCCAGCAUGAAAGAUACCAUCCAGUCUGAAAGAGGAGCCUACUUCAGAUGUGUCUAAAGGUCCCCCUGAUGGUGAGAAUCUUGGAUGUGAAAUAAAACAGGAAAUGGUUUGGCAGGUGCCUGGGCAUAACUCUUGGACAAGGCUCUGAGUAAUGACUUAACAGCAUAUCUGAUAUUUGAAGACUCAUCCUGCUGUGGAAAGAUCAUCUCUUGUGCUUCCCUUAAGUAGGUAAAAUCAGAUUCAUCACCCUUAUAUUCCCUUUCAGAACAUACUAUUCUUUCAAGUUUAGCCAAAAGGAUCACAUUCAAGACAUUCUUCUCAUGACUGGCACUCAGUUAGGAAUGCUGUUAGGCUUUUAUCUUCUCUCACUUAAUGAAGGCUUCAGCAGAUCUAAGUUACAAAUAAGUAUGACCUCAUUGGAUUGGGAGGUUUCUGUUUUCUAAGUGGCUUAAGUGGACUGGAAUCUGAAUCUCUGACCUUCUGGAACAUGACACGAUGGAGUUAGAUGAUCUUUUCAGAGGUGUUUGGCAAGAAACUAGCCCAAGACCCAUGGUUUCCUCCCUUCACUGCCUGGAAACUUGCACAGCCUGCAUGUGUGACCCUCUGGACAGAACUAGUGCAAAGCCACUCCCAAAGCAGAAAAGCAGGCUAUUGGACACCUAAUGCCCAAUUUAUCAUUGAUAAAAUUCCUCCUGCUGUUUGUAAUUCUAUCAUUGCCCAGAUUUCAUAUGACUAAAUUGUGUUAUAACCAUAAAAUGGAAUACUAUGCAACCAUGUGCUGAGGAAGAAUAUUUAGCAGCAUGCAAGGAUAUUCACGUAUUCCCC